rnacentral:misc_RNA from 1 species
GAUGAAGAACGUAGCGAAAUGCGAUAAGUAAUGUGAAUUGCAGAAUUCAGUGAAUCAUCGAAUCUUUGAACGCACAUUGCGCCCCUUGGUAUUCCGGGGGGCAUGCCUCUUCCAGCGUCAUUUCACCCCUCAAGCUCUGCUUGGUUUUGGGCCGCGCCGGCAACGGCGGGCCUCGAAAAUAGUGGCGACGCCAUCGUGCUCUCAGCGUAGUAAUUCUUCUCGCUGUUGGGUCCCGGUGGUCGUCCGCCAGCAACCCUCAACUUUCUUAAGUUUGACCUGGGAUGAGGUAGGGAUACCCGCUGAACUUAAGCAUAUCAAUAAGCGGAGGA